GAUUUGUCUGGUUUAUUCCGAUAACGAGCGAGACUCUAGCCUACUAACUAGUUCACACAUUGCCUUGUGUGUGCAACUUCUUAGAGGGAUUUUCGGUGUUUAGCCGCACGAGAUUGAGCAAUAACAGGUCUGUGAUGCCCUUAGAUGUCCGGGGCUGCACGCGCGCUACACUGGCGAAAUCAGCGUGCUUGUCCUUUCUCGAAAGAGAUUGGUAAACCAUUGAAAAUUUGCCGUGAUUGGGAUCGGAAAUUGCAAUUAUUUUCCGUGAACGAGGAAUUCCAAGUAAGUGCGAGUCAUCAACUCGCGUUGAUUACGUCCCUGCCCUUUGUA
rnacentral:rRNA from 1 species